AUGUAUCUGCAAUAUUUUGCUUUCCCUUUACUGUCCAAUAAACAGUACUUCAUUUCCCCGGAGGGCUCUGGCUUCACAAUUGAUGGCAUUGGAACAAUUUCCACAGCAGCAGUUUUUGAUUUUGAAAGUGAAUCUAGAAGUUUUUCACUGGUUAUUAAAGUGGUUGAUCCUGGAGGACUGUUUACCGCUGGGAAUCCAAAGCUUUUUCUCAUCAAUGUAAACAAUAAGGACCCCAUUCUUAGCUGCAGUCUCCAACCUCCUACUCUUGCCAUCACAAAGCGUGGAAAAUAA
rnacentral:lncRNA from 13 species